AGAACGAACGUUGGCUGCGUGGAUUAGGCAUGCAAGUCGCGGGAAUCCCCAGCAAUGGGGGGAACCGGCGUAAGGGGCAGUAGGGCGUGGGCAACCUACCCCGGGGUCUGGCAUAGCCCGUCGAGAGACGGGGUAAUUCCAGGCGACAUCCCGACGGGGCAUCCCGACGGGAUCACAGGUCCGCCGUCCCGGGCGGGGCCCACGUGAUAUUAGCUGGUUGGUGGGGUAACGGCCCACCAAGGCGGAGAUGUCUAGCGGGUGUGAGAGCACGACCCGAGCCACUGGCACUGAGACACUGGCCAGACACCUACGGGUGGCUGCAGUCGAGGAUCUUCGGCAAUGGGGGCAACCCUGACCGAGCGACGCCGCGUGUGCGACGAAAGCCUUCGGGUUGUAAAGCACUGUCUAGGGGGAGGAAAGCCCGCGAGGGUGUGACCUACCCUGGGAGGAAGCACGGGGCUAAGUUUCGUGCCAACAA
rnacentral:rRNA from 1 species